CCUACGGUAGGCAGCAGUGGGGAAUUUUGCACAAUGGGCGAAAGCCUGAUGCAGCAACGCCGCGUGAAGGAAGAAGGGUUUCGGCUCGUAAACUUCUAUUAACAGGGACGAAAGAAAUGAUGGUACCUGAAUAAGAAGCUCCUGCUAACUACGCGCCAGCAGCCGCGGAAAUACGUAGGGGGCAAGCGUUAGCCGGAAUGACUGGGUGCAAAGGGUGAGUAGGCGGCAUGGUAAGCCAGAUGUGAAAGCCUUGGGCUUAACCCGAGGAUUGCAUUGGGAACUAUCAGGCUGGAGUACAGGAGAGGAAGGUGGAAUUCCAAGUGUAGCGGUGAAAUGCGUAGAUAUUAGGAAGAACACCAGUGGCGAAGGCGGCUGUCUGGACUGAAGCUGACGCUGAGGCACGAAAGCGUGGGGAGCGAACAGGAUUAGAUACCCGGGUAGUC
rnacentral:rRNA from 1 species